AUUGAACGCUGGCGGCAGGCCUAACACAUGCAAGUCGAACGGUAACAGGAAGAAGCUUGCUUCUUUGCUGACGAGUGGCGGACGGGUGAGUAAUGUCUGGGAAACUGCCUGAUGGAGGGGGAUAACUACUGGAAACGGUAGCUAAUACCGCAUAACGUCGCAAGACCAAAGAGGGGGACCUUCGGGCCUCUUGCCAUCGGAUGUGCCCAGAUGGGAUUAGCUAGUAGGUGGGGUAACGGCUCACCUAGGCGACGAUCCCUAGCUGGUCUGAGAGGACGACCAGCCACACUGGAACUGAGACACGGUCCAGACUCCUACGGGAGGCAGCAGUGGGGAAUAUUGCACAAUGGGCGCAAGCCUGAUGCAGCCAUGCCGCGUGUAUGAAGAAGGCCUUCGGGUUGUAAAGUACUUUCAGCGGGGAGGAAGGGAGUAAAGUUAAUACCUUUACUCAUUGACGUUACCCGCAGAAGAAGCACCGGCUAACUCCGUG
rnacentral:rRNA from 1 species